rnacentral:rRNA from 1 species
GGCCCAUCCGCGCAACGAAAGCGAAUGGCGGGACGCUCUCCCGCAGGGGGGCGGCGCCGCCGGCCGGACGUCCUCGAGGCGGACCGAGCCGGAGCGCUCGCGUCGGGACCCGAAAGGUGGUGAUCUAUCCGUGCGCGCGGCGAAGCCGGGGGAAACCCCGGUGGAGGCCCGUCGACGGUACUGACGUGCAAAUCGUUCGUCCGACGUGCGAAUAGGGGCGAAAGACCAAUCGAACCUCCUAGUAGCUGGUUUCCGCCGAAAUUUCCCUCAGGAUAGCGGCCAUCGCGGAAACGUUUUGACCGGUAGAGCGAACGACUAGAGGUACCGGGGCCGUAACGGCCUCGACCUAUUCUCGAACUCCGAACGGGCAAGGAGCCGGGGUCGCCCGAUCGGACCCCGGACGUGAAGUCGACGAUGGUCGGUGGGCUGGUUUUGGUAAGCAGAACGGGCGAUCGGGAUGAACCGGAAGCGGGGAG